rnacentral:rRNA from 1 species
AGAGUUUGAUCCUGGCUCAGCCUGAACGCUGGCGGCGUGGCUAAGACAUGCAAGUCGUACGGUGUAGCAAUACACAGUGGCGAACGGGUGAGUAAUGUAUCGCUAACGUGCCCCGGACUCUGGGAUAGCUUCCCGAAAGGGAAGGUAAUACCAGAUGAGACCACGAACAGGCAUCUGUUUGUGCUCAAAGGUCCGCCGGUCUGGGAGCGGGCGAUAUCGUAUCAGCUAGUUGGUAGGGUAACGGCCUACCAAGGCGACGACGCGUAGCCGGACUGAGAGGUUGGCCGGCCACAUUGGGACUGAGACACUGCCCAGACUCCUACGGGGGGCUGCAGUAACGAAUCUUCCGCAAUGCACGAAAGUGUGACGGAGCGACGCCGCGUGUGGGACGAAGUUCUUCGGAAUGUAAACCACUGUCAGGGGAAAGAAAGUUCUGAUCUACCCCAGAGGAAGAGGCGGCUAACCCUGUGCCAGCCGCGGCGGUAAUUC